rnacentral:rRNA from 1 species
AUUGAACGCUGGCGGCAGGCCUAACACAUGCAAGUCGGACGGUAGCACAGAGAGCUUGCUCUCGGGUGACGAGUGGCGGACGGGGGAGUAAUGUCUGGGGAUCUGCCCGAUAGAGGGGGAUAACCACUGGAAACGGUGGCUAAUACCGCAUAACGUCGCAAGAUCAAAGAGGAGGACCUUCGGGCCGCUCCCUAGCGGAUGAACCCGGAUGGGAUUAGCUAGUAGGCGGGGUAACGGCCCACCUAGGCGACGAUCGCUAGCUGGCCUGAGAGGAUGCCCAGCCACACUGGAACUGAGACACGGUCCAGACUCCUACGGGAGGCAGCAGUGGGGAAUAUUGCACAAUGGGCGCAAGCCUGAUGCAGCCAUGCCGCGUGUAUGAAGAAGGCCUUCGGGUUGUAAAGUACUUUCAGCGGGGAGGAAGGCGAUGUGGUUAAUAACCGCGUCGAUUGACGUUACCCGCAGAAGAAGCACCGGCUAACUCCGUGCCAGCAGCCGCGGUAA